CUCUCUCUCUCUCUCUCUCCCAAAAUCACCGCCCCUCUUCUCCCUCCAAGAUCCGCCGCCGCCUGCUCCUACCCCGGCGAUGUUCGCCGACUCCGAUGUCUUCCCCCCACUCGUCGCCUUCCCUAUCUCACCACCCUCUCUCUUAACCAGUCACGCCGCCACCCCUCUUCCCGAUGAGAUCGUCGCCGGCCACCACCCUUCCCUUGCUCGUCAACCUCCCUCUCUCACCAUCCUCCCAUCUGCCUCCCCCAUUCUCGCGCCCGUGUCCGAAGGCAGACGGCCAUGGAGGAAACGCCACCGCCGCCGCUCGCCUGCCUCGGCCGAGUUCAGCGGCGUCGGGUGCCGCCUUGCACCGUCCUGCCUCAAACCGCGCCGCCUGGCCUGCCUUCACCGUGAGCAGCCACGGGCUGCCACCACCCAUGCGGCGCCGGUCGCCGCAUCAUUGUCAGCCCGGCAUCGGGCCUCCGACAACCUCCCCCUCUUCUCUUCACUCAUUCCCAAACCAAAACAGCAAAAUGAAAUUCUCAGAUUUGUAAAGAUUUGAUUUUUGGUGCAUUGGUCAAGGUAUUUCUUUAAUAGAAACAGUUGGGUAUUUGGAUUUCGUAAGUUAAUCUUUUGUGAAAAUCAUGUUGGUGAUGUUUCCGUAAGGAAAAAUAAGAACCAAACAGAAGAAAAUAGUUGCUGUAUUAAAAUGAAAAUACAUAGAUUUACAGAGAUAAUUGGGGUUAC
rnacentral:lncRNA from 1 species